rnacentral:rRNA from 1 species
AAUAGAUACCCAGGUAGUCCACGCCGUAAACGAUGAGUGCUAAGUGUUAGGGGGUUUCCGCCCCUUAGUGCUGCAGCUAACGCAUUAAGCACUCCGCCUGGGGAGUACGGUCGCAAGACUGAAACUCAAAGGAAUUGACGGGGGCCCGCACAAGCGGUGGAGCAUGUGGUUUAAUUCGAAGCAACGCGAAGAACCUUACCAGCUCUUGACAUCCUCUGACAAUCCUAGAGAUAGGACGUCCCCUUCGGGGGCAGAGUGACAGGUGGUGCAUGGUUGUCGUCAGCUCGUGUCGUGAGAUGUUGGGUUAAGUCCCGCAACGAGCGCAACCCUUGAUCUUAGUUGCCAGCAUUCAGUUGGGGCACUCUAAGGUGACUGCCGGUGACAAACCGGAGGAAGGUGGGGAUGACGUCAAAUCAUCAUGCCCCUUAUGACCUGGGCUACACACGUGCUACAAUGGACAGAACAAAGGGCAGCGAAACCGCGAGGUUAAGCCAAUCCCACAAAUCUGUUCUCAGUUCGGAUCGCUACG